rnacentral:tRNA from 1 species
AGGGCGAGUAGCUCAGCGGAUAGAGCACAAGCCCCCGGUGCUUGGUGUCGCCAGUUCGAUUCUAGCAUCGCCCUA